rnacentral:tRNA from 1 species
AAGAUCCUAAGUUACACAAACUAAUAGCCUUCAAAGCUAUCAACGGAAUUAUCCGGAUCUUG